UUGGCCAGGGGGUAUGAUGAGCAAGUUAGAGUGAUAUGAAGUAAAAUUCUUGCCAGGCCCAUGUACAUGGGGCCCAUUCAGAAACCAAGCAAAUGAAUUUCACAAAUGAACAUGUGAAUCAACCAUAAAUUUGCACGUGUGGAAAUAAAAUUCAGAUGAAAUUUAAAUUGAAUUGGGAAACACACACUAGCUCAGGUCAUGCUCAGAUGAACCUCUAUGGGCCACCGUACCGGAAAUUGCCUUUGGAGGCGGUGGCUACCGGAAAUGAAAAUUAGACACCAUUCCAUUCGUCUUGACCUCCCCUCUUCGAAUCUCUACUCAAUUUCUCAAAAUUCUACGCCAAGGUUCAAAACUGAGUCACAAAUCCUUAAGAACCCUAAAUGUAAUCCCUAAAUUAAAUGCUAAUCUUGAAGAUUCAAAGCCCCUGGGAUUGGGGCUUUGAAUCCCCUCUCACUGCUCUACAUUCUAGUAACAAGAAAACAGCGAAAAGAGGAAUUUUUCAGACGUACCUUGCCGAAGAUGAUGAAAUUGGGGAUGGCAAAAGUUCCAGGUUCCUGAUGUGAAUUGCAGACUCAUAUGCUCUAUAUUCUAGGAAUUUAUUGGCUUGCUCAUGAAUAAUCCAUUGUAGGGGUGUUGCUGACUGAUGUAAGUCCAUUUUCAUUGCAUUUCUUAACAUAGUUCUGCAGGGUUUAUUGCAAGCAGGAUGCAAUGUUUGUGAGGUUUCAUGGCACUGAAUGCAGGGUUGCUAUGUUUGUAAUGGUCUAGCAUGCUUUUUUUCUGAAUUGGCUCAGUGUUGAUGUUAGCAUGACUUGGUGAAUGUAUGUGUGUUUUUUUGUUGUUGCAAGUUUACAUGGUUCUUAUAGGUGUUGGUUUACAUUGCAAGUUUUACUGCAAGUGUUCAUGUACUGCAUAACAAGUGUGUCCUUGGAUUGAUGUUGGACAUUACUUUGGCUUGGCAUAUGGCUUGAACUUGGUCUACAUCAGGGUUUAUAUUGUGGUUUUGCAAGUGUUUAUGGCUUGCUGCUUGGUGUUUUGCAAAGCUUCAUUUGGUUAGAUCUAGUUGCAACAAGUCUGGCUUUGGCUCAUGUUUCAUUACAUUGUUAACUGGUGGUAUGGAUUUGGUUAGGCUACAUUGCAGCAAGGUUUUGUAGGUGUGCAUUGUGACAUGGUAAGCCUUGAUAUAGGUCAUGAACACAUGGUGUGGAUUGUUGAACAACGGCUUGCAAUAUGAUGUCAUCAAGUUUGCACUUUGAAGUAUCAAUGACAAAUGGCAACAAUUAAGUAGGAAAUUUGAAGAUUAGAAAUGGGAUUUAGGAUUUGGGGAUGUAAAAUAGUUGAGUUGACUUUGGUCAAAGUUGACCAAAAAUUCAACGAUUGACCAAAGUCAACAUUUGGUCAAUGUGUCAUUUUUGUAGAUUUUUUCAUUUAUCGACACUUGUAAUGAAUAUGUAAUGAAUGGAAUUUGAUAUUACAUGAAAUUGACUUUGAAUAAAUCUUGUAUGAACUUGGUAUUUGAAAUGAAUGAAUUUGAUGUUGAAUGAA